rnacentral:rRNA from 1 species
CAAAAUGGAGAGUUUGAUCCUGGCUCAGGAUGAACGCUGGCGGCGUGCUUAACACAUGCAAGUCGAACGGGCUCUUCGGAGCUAGUGGCGGACGGGUGAGUAACGCGUGAGAAUCUGCCUACAGGACGGGGACAACAGUUGGAAACGACUGCUAAUACCCGAUGUGCCGAGAGGUGAAACAUUUAUGGCCUGUAGAUGAGCUCGCGUCUGAUUAGCUAGUUGGUGGGGUAAGGGCCUACCAAGGCGACGAUCAGUAGCUGGUCUGAGAGGAUGAUCAGCCACACUGGGACUGAGACACGGCCCAGACUCCUACGGGAGGCAGCAGUGGGGAAUUUUCCGCAAUGGGCGCAAGCCUGACGGAGCAACGCCGCGUGGGGGAGGAAGGUUUUUGGACUGUAAACCCCUUUUCUCAGGGAAGAAGAAAGUGACGGUACCUGAGGAAUAAGCCUCGGCUAAUUCCGUGCCAGCAGCCGCGGUAAUACGGGAGAGGCAAGCGUUAUCCGGAAUUAUUGGGCGUAAAGCGUCCGCAGGCGGUUAAUCAAGUCUGUUGUCAAAGCGUGGGGCUCAACCUCAUACAGGCAAUGGAAACUGAUUGACUAGAGUAUGGUAGGGGUAGCGGGAAUUCCAGGUGUAGCGGUGAAAUGCGUAGAUAUCUGGAAGAACACCAGCGGCGAAAGCGCGCUACUGGGCCAUAACUGACGCUCAUGGACGAAAGCUAGGGGAGCGAAAGGGAUUAGAUACCCCUGUAGUCCUAGCCGUAAACGAUGAACACUAGGUGUUGCGUGAAUCGACCCGCGCAGUGCCGUAGCCAACGCGUUAAGUGUUCCGCCUGGGGAGUACGCACGCAAGUGUGAAACUCAAAGGAAUUGACGGGGGCCCGCACAAGCGGUGGAGUAUGUGGUUUAAUUCGAUGCAACGCGAAGAACCUUACCAGGGUUUGACAUCCCCCGAAUCUCUUGGAAACGAGAGAGUGCCUUCGGGAGCGGGGAGACAGGUGGUGCAUGGCUGUCGUCAGCUCGUGUCGUGAGAUGUUGGGUUAAGUCCCGCAACGAGCGCAACCCACGUUUUUAGUUGCCAUCAUUCAGUUGGGCACUCUAGAGAAACUGCCGGUGACAAACCGGAGGAAGGUGUGGACGACGUCAAGUCAUCAUGCCCCUUACAUCCUGGGCUACACACGUACUACAAUGCUCCGGACAGCGAGACGCGAAGCCGCGAGGUGAAGCAAAUCUCCCAAACCGGGGCUCAGUUCAGAUUGCAGGCUGCAACUCGCCUGCAUGAAGGCGGAAUCGCUAGUAAUCGCAGGUCAGCAUACUGCGGUGAAUACGUUCCCGGGCCUUGUACACACCGCCCGUCACACCAUGGAAGUUGGCCAUGCCCGAAGUCGUUACCCUAACCGUUCGCGGAGGGGGGCGCCGAAGGUAGGGCUGAUGACUGGGGUGAAGUCGUAACAAGGUAGCCGUACCGGAAGGUGUGGCUGGAUCACCUCCUUU